GACAGAGGGGGCGAGCGUUACCCGGAUUUACUGGGUGUAAAGGGCGUGUAGGCGGUCUCUCAAGUCCGAUGCUAAAGACCGAAGCUCAACUUCGGGGGUGCGUUGGAUACUGUGAGGCUAGACGGUCGGAGAGGGUAGCGGAAUUUCCGGAGUAGCGGUGAAAUGCGCAGAUACCGGAAGGAACGCCAAUAGCGAAGGCAGCUACCUGGACGAUUUGUGACGCUGAGGCGCGAAAGCGUGGGGAGCAAACCCG
rnacentral:rRNA from 1 species